rnacentral:rRNA from 1 species
UACGAAGGGGGCGAGCGUUGUUCGGAAUUACUGGGCGUAAAGGGCGCGUAGGCGUCCCUCUUUGUCGCGUGUGAAAGCCCCAGGCUCAACCUGGGAACGGCGCGCGAAACGGGGGGGCUGGAGUUCGGGAGAGGAGCGUGGAAUUCCCAGUGUAGAGGUGAAAUUCGUAGAUAUUCGCAAGAACACCAGUGGCGAAGGCGGCUCACUGGCCCGAUACUGACGCUGAGGCACGAAAGCGUGGGGAGCAAACAGG